ACUUGAUGGUGUUUAUGACGUCGAUAUUCGACGUCAUAAACACCAUCAAGUUUGGUGUUUAUGACGUCGAUAUUCGACGUCAUAAACACCA
rnacentral:miRNA from 1 species